AUUGAACGCUGGCGGCAGGCCUAACACAUGCAAGUCGAACGAGUGGCGGACGGGUGAGUAAUGUCUGGGAAACUGCCCGAUGGAGGGGGAUAACUACUGGAAACGGUAGCUAAUACCGCAUACCAUCGGGUGUGCCCAGAUGGGUUUGGCUAGUAGGUGGGGUAACGGCUCACCUAGGCGACGAUCCCGAGCUGGUCUGAGCGGAUGACCAGCCACACUGGAACUGCGACACGGUCCAGACUCCUACGGGAGGCAGCAGUGGGGAAUAUUGCACAAUGGGCGCAAGCCUGAUGCAGCCAUGCCGCGUGUAUGAAGAAGGCCUUCGGGUUGUAAAGUACUUUCAGCGUGGAGGCGUUACUCGCAGAAGAAGCCCCGGCUAACUCCGUGCCAGCAGCCGCGGUAAUAC
rnacentral:rRNA from 1 species